rnacentral:rRNA from 1 species
GGGGGGGCAAGCGUUGUUCGGAAUUACUGGGCGUAAAGGGCGCGCAGGCGGCCCGGCAAGUCCUACGUGAAAUCCCACAGCUCAACUGUGGAACUGCGUGGGAUACUGCCAGGCUUGAGUCCGGGAGAGGAGAGUGGAAUUCCCAGUGUAGCGGUGAAAUGCGUAGAUAUUGGGAGGAACACCGGUGGCGAAGGCGGCUCUCUGGACCGGUACUGACGCUGAGGCGCGAAAGCUAGGGGAGCAAGCGGGGGAUUAGAUACCCCGGUAGUCCUAGCCGUAAACUUUGAGCACUUGGUGUGGCGGGUAUCGACCCCCUGCCGUGCCCGAAGCUAACGCAUUAAGUGCUCCGCCUGGGGAGUACGGUCGCAAGGCUG